AUUUUGCGUAUCACAGAAUUUCAAAUGCAAACAGAAUACCAUAUUUUUGUUUCUGUCUCGUUCUAACCGUCCACUCUGGACGUGUAGACUUUUUGCCAACUAUGGUAUGAAUAUUCGGAACGCUACCCAGCAUCUGUCAAAUUCAAACAUUUGAAAUGACAUCCAUUUCAACUACUACUCUGUGUCAACCGAAUUGUAAACAAACAUCUUACAAGAAUUUCGAUUUGUGUAUGUGUUGCAUUUUGGGCGCGUGAAUUAGAAAGAAAGAGCAGAACCGACACUUUUCUUCCAUUUCACUCAACGCAACACAACAGACUCAUUCGUUAAUGUGGUUUGGUGUUACAUUUGUUAACUUUGGCUGCGUUAUAAGAAUGUAUUGAGUUUCUAUAUCGGAACCGAAUAAACAUGAAUUUCAUCACGAAGUGAGUAGAGUUGUUGCGGUAUGGUAUUUAUGUCCAAACCAUAUUCAGCUGUCAAACGGGUGCCGGUUGAUUCAUAUUGAUCUGAGCAUUUGAAAAGGCAAGUUGAUUGUUGUGAAUAUAGUUCGAUUAAUAGUGAUUGUUUUUUUUUCGAACUGUGUAAUUUAUUCAAUGUUUGGUGAAAAUGGUACACAAUUUCUUAUUAAUUUUUCUCAUUUUUAUUUCGUUUUGGUGUUUUGACGUGAAUCUCAUUCGUUCGUGUUGAUCGUACACAAAGCGGCAUUAGCAUUCUAAUGGGAUUGUGAAAUAGUCGUAAGAUGGGCAAAAAAUCAAGGAAGAAGCCGAAGCCAAUUGUGAUGCUUGAUCCAGACAAGAUUAAGGACGACAAAGAUGAAAAAGACAAUCCGAACAAUCAAAACGCAGUUACGUUCCAUUCUUCAGCCGAAAUACCGUGACUUGUUGAUUGCAGCCAUCACCGACAGAUCAAUAAUGGCAACGAAAAUGUGCGCACUUGCCUCGCAGUUGUUCCUGUUCCGUUGACCCACUGAACCAAGACUUGCAGUCAUUUGUGCUUACAAACAUAUGCACAAAUAUCGCCCAAUGAAACGCUUUUGUGCACGAUUGUGAGGGCGCAUUUGACGAGAAUGACCAAACAUUUUUUGAACAGAAUGGCGAAAUGGUGAUUCGGUCAUGUUUUUUGGUGUCCUGAAAAAAAAUAUUUACAAGAAGAAAAUGUUGCCGGAAUUUCGUGAAAUGGUGCAUCAGCUGGACGAUAGCCAUCGAGUGGUUUGGCCCAACUCGGACUAUUCCGGCAACGGAAUGACUGAUAUAAUAGAUCCAUACGUAACGAACACAAAACGCCUGCGCGAUUGGUUGCGGAUAAAAGUGUUCGAAUCUUCGUUGGUUGUUCGGUACGAGGAGGCCGACAUCGACCGUGUGAUUAGUUUGGCAAUUUAUGGCAAUGACGAUAUUGAAAUCAAUGGCAUGGAUGAAGUUGCCAAACGUGAGGGGCGUACGUCGUUGAUGGGACAUACCAUACAACAACAUUGGCCGAUUCACAAAGGAGCAUUGCAUUCUAGAUUUCCCUCCAGCGGAAAAUUGAUGAUUUCAACCAGAGCCCUCAUUUUGUAUAUGCCAAUAUUUCGAGCUAUUAGUAGUUGCUAUUUAUAGGCAAUAGCUCUUGAUAUAUUGAAAUAGCAGCUACCGAGUUCGCAGUACAAAAUUCCAGAUUUGGGAAGUCAAAUUGAGGAUGAUCCGAGCGGAAUUCGACGAAAAAUAAAUCAAUCCACCGAAGGGACGAAUUCUUAAGCACUUCUACUUCCAGAACACAUUGGAUCAGGUCAGGUUCACCUCCUCCACAAGAUUCACUUCCAGCUCCGCGAAUAUUUCAUGAACGCUAUUUUUUAAUAUAAGGGCAAAAAUACUGACUGAAACGUCACGCACAAAAUUGGUUAUAGCCAAUUUAGAGGGAAUAGAACGUCACGUUUUUGUGGAAGUGAUUUUUGAGGAUGUUUUGUCUUUCGAUGAUAUUUAGCCUCUGUACCGUAAAAAUAUAUGAAUAUAUAUAAAUAUGAAAGACUAUAUUGAAGGCUAAGGUCCAAGGAAUCGAUUGGAUAACUUGCAUUUACACAAAAAUGUAUUCUGGACUGUUUUAUGGCCAACGAUAGUGACUGGCUAUGUCACGCCAAAGUAACACUACUACUUGCAUCAAUAAUUUUAUGAAUGGUCACUUGAAAACUACUUAAAAUUCGUGACGUUCCAGUCACGCGAGGAAUAUCGUGAAGUUCGCCGAUGCCAACGUGAAGAGUAUCAAGAGAUGAAACGAUGCCGACGUCGAAAUCACCGUCCGUGCACUUGCCAGCAGCCGACAGAUCGAGGCCAAUAUGAGUACAUCGAGAAAUAGGAUAACAUCACAGAGGAUGAGGUCAGAAAACAAAAGGAGUAUUAUUGGGGCCAAUACUUCAAUAUGCUGAAAAUCUAUCAUCUCGGUCAAGCAGAAAAGAGUUCCGUUUCCGAAUUCCCUCAAAUUCUCUCCUCUACAAUUUAAUGUUGACAAAACGAAAAUGGGUAACAUGGAAUCGGACAAAAAGGCCAUUGUUCAGAACUACAAAAAGUUUGUCAAUGAAGUUGGUACUGAUCCAGGUGUGAAUUCGUGGAACGCAACAACAGUACAUAACAUCGAAACUGGCAAAGAGGUGAACUACACGAUCAGCAGCAAACAGUAUCAUUACCGGGCGAGUCUAAAGGUCCGAAAUCGACAGGGAAAGCGGUGGACGAAGGACUUUGUCAGGGAAGAGAGGCGAGACCGUGAAAAUCGUACGCUCUAUCCGGUGAUGCUAUCGCAUCCAUACCCUACAAGAAUUUUGCGACAACGUUUACGCAAACGUAUCGCCAACCUUCCGCAAUAGUUGUCACAAAAUGCAUGAACUGCGAUCAACUUCAUUCGAAUUCAGCAUGUUGUAUUUUUAAAGGCGGCAAUGGCUGAUUAUUCUACUUAAUAAUUAUUUUGAAUAAGUUUUUAUUUCUUAUUAGCAACGAUGAGCAACAUGAAAAGUUUAAAUAAAACCAUUUGAAAUUAUGUUUUCAA